UAAAAUAAGAAAUGACGGCUGGGCAUGCUGGCUCAUGCCUGUAAUUCCAGCACUCUGGGAGGCCGAUGUGGGUGGAUCACUUGAGGUCAGGAGUUCGAGACCAGCCUGGCCAACAUGGGGAAACCCCGUCUCUACUAAAAAUUAGCGAGUGCACGCCUGUAAUCCCAGCUUCUUGGAAGGCUGAGAUGGGAAUCACUUGAAUCUGGGAGGCAGAGGUUGCAGUGAGCAGAUAUCGUGCCACUGCACUCCAGCCUCGAGGACAGAGUGAGACUGUCUAAAAAAAAGUCAGGAUAGCAGCUUGUGGGGGGUGAAGCAGGAGAGCAACAUCCUAAUCAAAUUUGGCAUCUUCCCCCUGUUCUUCUCCCUGCCCCUAGGGUGUGCAUCCUGCAUUCCUGGGGGCUCAGUACCCUUAUUCAGUGACUCCUCCCUCACUUGCUGCCACUGCUGUGUCUUUCCCCGUCCCUUCCAUGGCACCCAUCACAGUACAUCCCUACCACACAGAGCCAGGGCUUCCACUGCCCACCAGUGUGGCCUUGAGCAGUGUCCAUCCAGCAUCCACGUUUCCAGCCAUCCAGGGUGCCUCACUGCCUGCCCUGACCACACAGCCCAGCCCUCUGGUGAGCGGAGGUUUUCCACCGCCCGAGGAGGAGACACACAGUCAGCCAGUCAAUCCCCACAGCCUGCACCACCUGCAUGCUGCCUACCGUGUCGGAAUGCUGGCACUGGAGAUGCUGGGUCGCCGGGCACACAACGAUCACCCCAACAACUUCUCCCGCUCCCCCCCCUACACUGAUGAUGUCAAAUGGUUGCUGGGGCUGGCAGCAAAGCUGGGUAACACCUCCCCUCCCUAGACCAUUGCCCCCCCCCACCUGCUCUCCCCACCUUCCUUAUCCCAGACCUCCUUCCUAGCUCUUGCUCAGAGUUGAGGCCUUGGUCGGGUAUUGUGCGUGCGCGGGGGGCGGA
rnacentral:sRNA from 1 species